rnacentral:rRNA from 1 species
UACGGAGGGUGCAAGCGUUGUUCGGAAUCACUGGGCGUAAAGCGCGUGUAGGCGGCCUCCUCAGUCUGGUGUGAAAGCCCGGGGCUCACCCCCGGAAGUGCAUUGGAUACUGGGAGGCUGGAGUACCGGAGAGGAGGGUGGAAUUCCUGGUGUAGCGGUGAAAUGCGUAGAUAUCAGGAGGAACACCGGUGGCGAAGGCGGCCCUCUGGACGGAUACUGACGCUGAGACGCGACAGCGUGGGGAGCAAACAGG